GGUAGUUUCCUGCGAGGCAUAUCGUUCCUCAACCGAUGGUUACGCGGCCUUGAUGUGCGCUUGUUCGAGCGCACAUGUUUAUGGCUACUGCCCAUCUUAGGAAGGCAACGGACGAUCUUGCGAUGUUAUCCGACGAAUCCGCUGGAGAUCGUACGAUCUCGCUAAUUAAACUUUUCGCCCUCUCGCAAACAAGAAUAGAAUCCCAAUGAGAAAUACAAAUUCGUGUUCCGCCUCCUUUCAGAAUGGCCUGUCUAGGACAUCCCAUUAAUCACUACGAAUACUGAAGAUCUAGCUAUAUCACAUUACGUACUACUCGUAUAAAGUUUCAGUACUCGCAGUGUAUAACA